rnacentral:rRNA from 1 species
UACAGAGGUCCCAAGCGUUGUUCGGAUUCACUGGGCGUAAAGGGUGCGUAGGCGGUCGGGUAAGUCUGAUGUGAAAUCUCACAGCUUAACUGUGAAACUGCAUUGGAUACUAUCCGGCUCGAGGAAUGGAGGGGAGACUGGAAUACUUGGUGUAGCAGUGAAAUGCGUAGAUAUCAAGUGGAACACCAGUGGCGAAGGCGAGUCUCUGGACAUUUCCUGACGCUGAGGCACGAAAGCCAGGGAAGCAAACGGG